rnacentral:sRNA from 1 species
GCCAGGCAAAGUGGCGCAUGCCUGUAAUCCCAGUGGCUUGGGAGGCUGAGGCAGGGGGAUCAUGAAUUCAAAGCCAGCCUCAGCAACUUAGCGAGACCCUGUCUCAA